CACAGUAAUGAAGCUUCGUUCCCCUCAUCUUUCAUCACCUGCCCCCACCCCAGUCGAUUUUGCAACUACCACAAGAGGACAAUACAGCCAUUGACCUUGAAUGAGAAUGUUAAAAUGUCAUUUCUAGCUCAGCUGGAAAGAGGGCAGUCAACCCAACCUUCCUUUAGGGAUCGGCUACUGAAGUGAUAGGCACUGCUUUUACUUGUCUUUAGAAAGUCCUCUUUUGGUCCAACAGUGAAUUAGGUUGGAUUUUAGGCUAAUUGGAGCAACAAACUUUACUUCUUGACUUCCAGUUUUAUAUGAAAGCACUUUGCAGGGCUAGCAGCCAAGUCUUGGAUGGCAGAGUGAAUCAGAAGAGCACUGCAAUUAUGCAAACGAUCAAGAACAGAAAAAAAAAGAGCUACACAGCAAGAUCUUUUAUGCAUAAUGUAGGUGAGGCAAGUGUACCUCCUUUCCCUGUUUUCAUUGUGGCUGUGCUCUCAAAGAUGGUUCUACUUUACUUGGACUGGAUGGUGAAGGACAAUGUUGGGGUCCCACAGAGGUUAGGGUUUCAGUGCGGCCUUUCAGGGGAUCAUGAAGUGGAUUACGGACUUUUUCAGGCAAGCAAGCAGUUAACCUGGUAUUUAUAAGCCAACAUAGGGCAAGGUUGGGAGAGGAAACAUACGAUAAAGGAAACUUUUAAAGUCUGACACUUAAAAUAAGAUGCUUUCAACUUUUCUCAACUACUCUUUAUUAUUGUUUGUGACUUAAAGUACUAAAUGGAACCAAUUUCCUUCAUGUCAGAAACCUGGCUGUGGAGACAGAGUGGUUUAACCUGGAAGGUGACAGCGGCUAUAAGGGCAAGGGAGAAUGUCAUUCCUUCAUGAACGUAAUGAAGAGCUUAAACAGAUGAUGGGUCGCUCUUCCUUAGGAAUCUGUACGGUGGGGAGAACCCUGAAAUGUGCAUAGAAAUAGACACAUGAUAGUCUCUCUCUCUGUCUUUAGUGGCUACAAUUGCAUGCCCUGUUCUAUUUUACAGACAUUCGUUUGGCAACUUGGGACUUUGAGGGCAGAGGAGAAAGUUCAGUGUGUCCCAAGUGUGGCUGAUCAAAAGGGGAUAGCAGCAAGCAGGGCCUUGACAUGGUGAUGAAAAGAAUAGCAGCAUUAUCCCCUCCAGCCAGCGGGACGCAGACAAAGGAUGGGGCCAAGCCCCUUGAAAGCCAUUAAAGAUGAGAGUCGCUGACUGGCAAGCGCCUUUCAUUAGUGACCUCUGCUGUUUCCCAGGGACUCACCAACCCGGCUUUAUGGUCACAGUGUGCUCAGGCCGCGCAGAAAAAAAGCCCGAGGCCGUAGGACUCUGCCUGAAACCCCAGCACAAAGCCGGGUCUGACAGGCGGCGGCGAUCCCUGGCAACAGCGAGACUCGCGCGUCACGUCUCCGGGGAAUGUCAAGGCACCGGUUCGUUUCCCAGCCUCCGCGUGGGAGGAGAGGACAGACUGGGCUCGGCACUUUGAAACCUUCAUCCCUCCUGGUUGUUUGCUUGACAUCAAGCUGCUGCGAAAAGGCUCGCUUGCAGGGGCACCAACCUGGGGCGCGGGCAAGACAGGCGGUCGGGGUGACAAGCCUGUGGGGGACAGAGGGGGUGCGGGUCCUUCCUGAGACCACAGACAACCCUUCCCCGCGUGCCUCACAUGUCAUGACACGGCGGGUCCUGUGGAGCCGGUAUUUUGAGGCCGGGGAAGAGCUCAGAUGAGGCGCUCAGACAUGGCAGCAAAUGGUUCCUCAGAAUAGCCUACAAGCGGAUGCCUGGGUGGGAUUUUUUUCCUAGCAAACAUCAAUGGAAAAUAAAUGAACAGUAACUAACAGGAUGCGUGUUUUUUAAAGAGUUAUACUAAUAUUGCCACGUGGAAAGCAUAAAACAGAAGCAAAACGCACAGAAAGUCAAGGCUUCCCUUAACUUAGUCACUAGCAGCAUCCAAUGCCAUAGCGAAGGUGAUUUCAUAUCCUUACGUUUCCAGAUCUGUGCACUCCCACAAGUAUGGGUUUGGGAGAACAGCUAUUUGGGAGUUUAAGGGCUAGUGUUUGCCUUGCUCUCUAGCUAAGCAUAACCUACAGUGUAGCAUCGGGGUUAGGGAGCGGCGAGUCCAUGGACAUGGCUACUAAAGGCUGAGAAUCCCUGAGGCCCAAAAUUAAUCUGUACCUUUCAUGGGGACUUAGCUCUUGUCAUUUUAAGUCUAUUUUGCCUUUUGUCUGUUUCCUCCUCACUGAUCUCAACACGCGCUCGCACUUCACAACCAGGGUGAGAAGAAAAGGACGUGGCCGCGGCCGUUAGAAAACACACGGGCGCUUCUAAAGAACAGGUAGUCAGUCAAGAUUUAUUCUUUCUUCCACCUCAAAAAAGGGUCAAGAAAAUGUUCCACUCUUCUCUUACCUUCCCAAAGAAAACGUUUAAAGGACAAUGGCCCUUUGUUUUCUAGUUCUCUCUGACUUAGGCAAAAAUGUUUCUAUUUCAAUUUGAAAUUAAAAAAUGUUUUAAUUUAGCACUUACUAUGUACCAAUGUAUAAUUAGGCCCUGCAAACCGAGAAAAUGUUCUCAAUUUCCAACAACUAUCUUGGUACUGAAAAAGAUAGUUCUUUAAAUGGUUCUAGAUGAUUUUAAAAAUUUAAGCUUAAGUGUUAUAAUUCUAGGUCUAUAUCUUUUGUUACAGCUUUCUAGAAAAGGAAUAAAUGAGGUCUGAGGAA